rnacentral:lncRNA from 1 species
CGGGGACAAAUGCUCGCACACUGGCUGAGCUCGGGCCAGGGAAGGGUGGCCUCAGCCCAAAGCCUACUGUGGGCCUGAGGGGUGGCAGCUGGGACAUCAGUCAACUCUGCUCCGCGGCUGGAGAGCCGGCCGUGGGCUCUGCUGUCUGCCAGAUGCAAGCAUACGCCGUGAGGUCCCGUUUCUAUGGGGUUCCAGGAAAGAAAAUCUAAUCUUUAGUGAAAUAAAGCAGACCCAGGUCCUUCCUAGAUCCAGGACAGAGACGGGCGAGGAGGGACUGAGAACAGGCAAGAGUUAAGUUUUGGGACUGUGUAAAUGUACUACGCCUUGAUGGUGUGAUUCACACCCAUAUGAUGCCAGAGCUCAUUGGAUUCCACUCCCGCUGCGUGUGCUCUCAUACAGGGGCACCUCCCGAGCCUCUAAGUGGACCCUGGGACUGCGCCCCUCUGACCACGGCGCGGCUGCUCCAAGACACGCGGUACACCAACGGCGCACCCUGCGUGCACACCUGGCCUCGUACCUGCCGUCCAGGUGAGAGAACAGCCACAGGCUUAGCCGGGUGCGUGGGCCGAGGUGUGCUGCAGCUGGCGGAGCGGGGCAUCCGAGGCUCGCGUUGUCUGCUGGCAUUUAUUUCUGUGCUGAGAAAUGGGAGAAAACUGGGUGUGGGGGGUCCUUUGUAAAGAAUGACACACCUCAAAGUAUUUGGGACAUGAGUGAAGCAACGAUUCCCUCAGGGAACGGCUUCAAC